CAGAGGUUGAUUUUUGGGCCGUUUUUCCCCAGUGCAGCAUCAGGCCCCUGGAGCUGCCAGCUCAGUUUGGCCAGCCUGGGAGGCUUCUUUAUUUUGUGCACAGGGAUGGAGCACGAGUGUCCUGGGCAUGUGUGUCUUGCUGUUUCCUUCUGUUGGACUCUCUAAUCAAGGCUACUGAUAACGCUGGAAGCCUGCACAGAAGUGACUGCUUGAUGUACUCAUCGGUGGAGGACACAAAACUUCCUUUGAACUCGAGAGCAGAGGAGAGCAUCCAGUUAACUUUCAAGCGCCAUGCUGAGAGAUUAAUUUUGCAUCUCUCCGUGUCAUCUGUGCAGGAGGAGCAGCAGCAGCAGCCUUGCCACAGAUAUUGCAAUUAUCUGUGACCGAAUGCCUGGAAACACACGGUGUUGUGUCUGCUGCCGUUACACGAGGGCUGUCAGCACGGAGCCUGCGAGUGCUGGCAGGCAGCAGGGAAGCCAGAGCAGUGCAGGACUCAAUCCAGAGGUUAUCGAAGUCAUCAGGAAGCAUCACGUUGGCUCCUGCAGCCUUCGGCGAAGACACAACUCCUUUCACUGUAACCACAUCUCAGCCCGUGCAACAGGCAUUACUUAAUAACCCUGAGCAGCGAAACAGAAGAAAUUUUCUUUGAAAGUAUGUGCCAAUCUCCCAGAUAGCAUUUCCAGCAAAAAGGCCCCUUAGCAGCUACUACCGCUGCAGACAGAAAAGGAAAACGAGGCCUUCCUCACCUCUCCAGAGCCACGGUGCAACUAGUGCCAGGAAAUGGCUCUGAAAUCGAGGCGCUGGCUUUCGCCACUGCUUGUUCCACCUAUGAAGAAUGUCUGCGCUUCGGUGAGCUUUGAACCGGUGUUGUAAGCAUGUUCCAGACAGGGUUAGCUGUGUCUUAGAGGUUAUUGCAAGGCCCUUGCAAUGCAGGCAUGGCGGAGAACUUGUUUUAAAAGGUGGCUGCAAACACCGUUUGUAAAUAAAAACUCACUUAGAAGGCUUUAGUGUUUUAAUGCAGCCUCCCUAACAAGGUCCUGUAUGGGCUGGGACUGUAUGCAGAGAUAUUGCCUCUUCUAAAGAAGACACAGGUUACUUCCUUUUAACAACUAUCCCUCUUUGUGUGUGUAAAAUCCAGAGUUUUACUGGGGUCUGCAGAGGCAGAGGGCAAGAAGAGAAAGUGGGAAUAAAGGCAAAUGGAGAGAGACAUUCGCUACCACCCAAACAGGUGGCUUUUUUCCCUUUUUUAAAGAUUCAGUGCACCAAAGUCAGGAAAAUCAAACUUAUGGUUCCCCCAGCAGCCAUAACUCUGCCCCUGGCAGAGAAGGAGCGAGGCAUAAAUAUAAGCUCGUAGCCAGCAGUACAUGCUACAUAUGUGCAGGGAGCUAAGUUAUGGGUGCUGCGGGAGCCAUGAUUUUGAAUGUCCUGACUUGUGAGUUUAAAUUCUGCAGUUCAAUAUUCUGGGUAGUUUCUUUCUCUCCUUUUUGCACUUCUUGGUUAUAAAUUAUAUUACAGCUCUCGGUCUCCUUUAUGCUGGCACAGCAAUUUGGAUUAUGUGAUUGGCUGAAGACUCUCUUCUUCACAAGAAAGUGAUUGCAGUUAUUAUUCGUAGAUUUUUCAAGGCUGGAUCCAGCUUUCUUUGUGUCACAGACCCUUAAGCUGAUCUGUGUCGCUCACCACUAGCAUUAAAGGUGAGACAGGGAAGCGCAUGCCAUUAGCAGUCUGCAUGGGAUGCUCUGAUGGCCUUCAACAUGCUCUGCCUGGAUGCACCUCCAGUGGGGCAGGGCUGGGUUUUGUUGUCCCACCAAUUUGCUCUGCCAUCUUCGUGACAACAAGCUUGCGUGUCUCUUUUGAACUCCUACUUUGUAUUCCCAGAUUAGGCUUUCAGACACUGGGAAGAUAUUCAUUAAGAGGGUGAAAUCCAGAGCAGAGGCUGCACAGCACCUU